rnacentral:rRNA from 1 species
ACGCAUGCUACAAUGGCCGGUACAAAGGGCUGGCGAUACCGCGAGGUGGAGCGAAUCCCAGAAAGCCGGUCUCAGUUCGGAUUGGGGUCUGCAACUCGACCCCAUGAAGUCGGAGUCGCUAGUAAUCGCAGAUCAGCAACGCUGCGGUGAAUACGUUCCCGGGCCUU